rnacentral:rRNA from 1 species
UACGUAGGGUGCGAGCGUUAAUCGGAAUUACUGGGCGUAAAGCGUGCGCAGGCGGUUUUGUAAGCCAGAUGUGAAAUCCCCGGGCUUAACCUGGGAAUGGCAUUUGGGACUGCAAGGCUUGAGUGCGGCAGAGGAGACUGGAAUUCCUGGUGUAGCAGUGAAAUGCGUAGAUAUCAGGAGGAACACCGAUGGCGAAGGCAGGUCUCUGGGCUGACACUGACGCUCAUGCACGAAAGCGUGGGGAGCGAAACAAA